rnacentral:lncRNA from 1 species
ACUAAAGAAGCACACCAUUACACCUGGCAUUAGUGUUUUCUUUUAUCUGCAAAUACCUUAUAUGCCUUUAUUAUAUUUUUUACUAGGUAUUUAACUUUUUUGUGCAUUAUGUAAUUUUUUUAACCAUAUAGGCUUGAAAUUGGGUUAUUACUUAAUUACUAAAUAUUUAGAAGCAAUAACUUAUUCAUAUGCCAGUUGAACAUUAGAGAAUGAAUUAGAGAAUCUUCCAUGGUUUUUGCCUUAUCAUUUAAAACUUGGGGGCUGGAGAGAUGGCUCAAUGGUUAAGAGUAGCAACUGUUCUUCCAGAGGUCCUGAGUUCAAUUCCCAGCAACCACAAGGUGGCUCACAAUCAUCUGUAAUGGGAUUUGACGCCCUCUUCUGGUAUGUUUGAAGAUAGCUAUAGUGUACUCAGAAAUAAAAUGAUUAAAUAAAUCUAAAAAAGAAGAAGAAAAAGAAAAUCUAGGGAGAAAGGGGAGAUAAAUUUGAAGAGGAGGAAUGGCCCAGUGGGUUUAUGACUACCCCGCCCUUCCAGAGGACCUGAGUUCAGUUCCCAGCACCCAUAUCAGGUAGCUCACAAGCAUCUGAAUUCCAGCUCUAGGAGAUCUAAGGACUUUGUAAGCAUGUACACUCACAGAGACAUGUACACAUGAAUAAAAACACAUAAUUAAAAAUAAAAAGAUAAAUUCAGCCUGGCAUGGUGGUACAUACCUAUAAUCUCAGCACUUGGGAAGCUAAAACAGGAAGCUUUCUACAUGGUCCAUGUCAGCCUAGGCUAUCUC